GAUGAAGAACGUAGCGAAAUGCGAUAAGUAGUGUGAAUUGCAGAAUUCCGUGAAUCAUCGAAUCUUUGAACGCACAUUGCGCCUUCUGGUAUUCCGGAAGGCAUGCCUGUUCGAGAGUCAUUAACAACCGUUUCGAUCCCUUUCUUUCAGAAAUUACAAAGAGGAAAAGGGUUUGGUUAUGGUGGAGGAGGGAAAGGGAGCGUUUAGCCUGUAAAAAAAGAGGCUGUGUUCCGCCUCCCCCCCAAAAUUGUACAGGCGGUCGUGUGCGCCCACGCAUCGAGGUGUUGUAAAAGCUGCCACGGCACUUUUCACCUGUGCAGUGCGAGAUUGGCCAGCCGGUUUAAAAACCCCUCCAAACAAUCAAAGGUUGACCUCGGAUCAGGUAGGACUACCCGCUGAACUUAAGCAUAUCAAUAAGCGGAGGA
rnacentral:misc_RNA from 1 species